GAACAUGAUGAAGUUAUUUGUCGCCCCAGUCUUACAUGCAUCUAUUGAUGCUUGCUGGUGAUUGACACCCUUAUUCACAUCUGAUUC